rnacentral:rRNA from 1 species
UACGUAGGGGGCGAGCGUUACCCGGAUUUACUGGGCGUAAAGCGCGUGUAGGCGGCUGGUCAAGCGUGGUGUGAAAUCUCCGGGCUCAACCCGGAAACUGCAUUGCGAACUGACCUAGCUGGAGUGCAGGAGAGGGCAGCGGAAUUCCCGGUGUAGCGGUGAAAUGCGUAGAUAUCGGGAAGAACACCAGUGGCGAAGGCGGCUGCCUGGCCUGUAACUGACGCGUG